AUAUUAAUGUAUUUCAUGAGCUUCUUCAGUAAAUCUGUAUUUCUAAGUCAGUAUCUCCCUUCAGAAAUGUUGCUGAAGGGAGAUACUGACUUAGAAAUACAGGUGAACUCAUGAAAAUAAGCUCAUGAAAUACUCAUGAAAGAAGCUCAUGAAAUACAUUAAUAUGCCUUUUUCAGAAUAUAUUUCACCAAUUUUAAGGAGUCCCUGACAUCAAAACAUGGCUUGUUUUGUUCCUGGACUCUUCAGUGAUGAUGAGCAGAGUCUGAGUGAACCUGCUGUCAGACAAUCACUAUUGCACACCAAAUGCUCUUACUCAGCAGAUGGGGACAGCUACCAUCACCCAAUUUUCACCCAAAAGUGGCUGCGCUAUGCGCCAGACCGGGCAGGAGGGACUGGACGACAACUUAUGCAGGCAUCAGAUGACAAUGAAGUGUAAAUAAAGAGUAGAGGCUAAUAAACAGGAAUUUGAUUUUCAA